ACUGGAGUAGUCUACACAAGACAUCUGAUUUCGACUCAGAAAACCUUCCUACCAAGCUCCAGCU
rnacentral:tRNA from 1 species